UACGAAGGGGGCUAGCGUUGCUCGGAAUCACUGGGCGUAAAGGGUGCGUAGGCGGGUUUUUAAGUCAGGGGUGAAAUCCUGGAGCUCAACUCCAGAACUGCCUUUGAUACUGAAGAUCUUGAGUCCGGGAGAGGUGAGUGGAACUGCGAGUGUAGAGGUGAAAUUCGUAGAUAUUGGGAAGAACACCGGUGGCGAAGGCGGCUAUCUGGACCGACAUUGACGCUGAGGCGCGAAAGCGUGGGGAGCAAACAGG
rnacentral:rRNA from 1 species